rnacentral:rRNA from 1 species
GACGAACGCUGGCGGCGUGCUUAACACAUGCAAGUCGAACGGAAAGGCCCUGCUUUUGUGGGGUGCUCGAGUGGCGAACGGGUGAGUAACACGUGAGUAACCUGCCCUUGACUUUGGGAUAACUUCAGGAAACUGGGGCUAAUACCGGAUAGGAGCUCCUGCUGCAUGGUGGGGGUUGGAAAGUUUCGGCGGUUGGGGAUGGACUCGCGGCUUAUCAGCUUGUUGGUGGGGUAGUGGCUUACCAAGGCUUUGACGGGUAGCCGGCCUGAGAGGGUGACCGGCCACCUUAGGACUGAGAUACGGCCCAGACUCCUACGGGAGGCAGCAGUGGGGAAUAUUGCACAAUGGGCGGAAGCCUGAUGCAGCAACGCCGCGUGCGGGAUGACGGCCUUCGGGUUGUAAACCGCUUUCGCCUGUGACGAAGCGUGAGUGACGGUAAUGGGUAAAGAAGCACCGGCUAACUACGUG